rnacentral:rRNA from 1 species
UACGAAGGGGGGCUAGCGUUGUUCGGAAUCACUGGGCGUAAAGGGCGCGUAGGCGGCUUUAUAAGUCGGGGGUGAAAGCCUGUGGCUCAACCACAGAAUUGCCUUCGAUACUGUAUGGCUUGAGACCGGAAGAGGUAAGUGGAACUGCGAGUGUAGAGGUGAAAUUCGUAGAUAUUCGCAAGAACACCAGUGGCGAAGGCGGCU